UUUUCUGCAUGUGAUUUGCCCAGCUGUGUGUGUGGAAGGGGAAAAGACAUGUAUCUAUUUAGCAGAAUGAUGUACCGAAACAAAAGGAGGAAUCAUUUUACUCAUGCUUAGGUGGCGAGCAAUACUGAGAUGGAAGCUGGAAUUUUCUGGAAACAUGGAUGUGAUUCCUGGGAAGGAGAGUUUCCCCAAACCCUUUCUAACAAAUGAACUGGCCAUGGAAUACGUCACGCUGCCCCUGGUUUUGUCCUGCUCCUCGUCUGCACUUGAAGGAGCGAAGUCCGCAUGCUUGGACGGAAGACCUAUCACUGCUGCUCCAGUUUUUCUAUCAGCUAAGGUGUUUUUGGUUGCAAGUUACAAAAAUCCCUCAGUCAAAUUGACUUAAAUAUUAGAAAUGUGUUAAUUCGUAUAACCGGAAGUCCUGAAGCAUUCCGUAAACAGGGUUUCAGGGGACUCACCAGUGUCACCGUAGACCCAGCUUCUUUCCAUCUCUCCACUUUGCCAGGAUCCAGGCCCUGGCUUAGAGGUCAGGCUGGCAGCACGAUGCGUGUAGCAGCUCCAGGUACCACAUACAGAAGCCGCAAGGUCCAGUGGCAGGAAGGGGGCUGUCUUAGCACAGGGAGCCUUGCCCAGAAGCCCUCACCCACUGCUGUCAUGGAAAGAACUGGGUCCCACGUGCUCACAAACCAGUUCCAGGCAGGGGAGUAGCCAUAUCAUCACUGACUCGGACCCGUGAGGAUUGCCCCCUGAACUGGGGGUUACUCUGGAGUCAUAAGCAGGAUAUAUAAGUGUGUAAACAGAACUGGGGGCCUGUGAAGAGAGAAUAAGGGGGGAAUGGAUCUUGUGUAGGAAACCAAGACCUCCUGUACUCUCUUCCCAGUAUUCCCUGGCAGAUGAAUUGGUUCAAACUGGCUUGUAUAGUUCAUACUGGUUUUCUGACUUUGCUACUCUCCACCUUCUCUUAAGGACUUUUGCAAAAUCAAGUUU